GAUGAAGAACGUAGCGAAAUGCGAUAAGUAAUGUGAAUUGCAGAAUUCAGUGAAUCAUCGAAUCUUUGAACGCACCUUGCGCCCUUUGGCCAUUCCGAAGGGCAUGCCUGUUUGAGUAUCAUGAACACCUCAACUCUUCAUGGUUUUCCGUGAUGAGCUUGGACUUUGGGGGUCUUGCUGGCCUAUGGUCAGCUCCUCCAAAAUAAAUCAGCUUGCCAGUGUUUGGUGGGUAUCACAGGUGUGAUAACUAUCUACGCUUGUGGUUUUCCACCAGGUAACCUUCAGCAGUGGAGGUUCGCUGGAGCUCACAGAUGUGUCUCUCCUCAGUGAGGACAGCUCUUUGAAUGUUUGAUCUCAAAUCAGGUAGGACUACCCGCUGAACUUAAGCAUAUCAAUAAGCGGAGGA
rnacentral:misc_RNA from 1 species